ACAACAGAUUGAGUAUACUGUAAUGCCCCCUGGUGUUGGUGGAAAUUUCUAGCGUGAGUAGACGUCAUCAAUUUGGGUCUGGAAAGCUCCGCCCACCUCCUCUUCUCCAAGCAACAAGACAAACGAGACAAACGGUUGUGUAGGAAUAUAAUUGAUGACAACACUCCAGUCCGGUAGGUGGCGGUAAAUGCACCUUAGGUUGGUUGCCAUCCGCCAAUAAAACAGAAAAGAAGAAGAAGACCGGCAGUGAAGACGCCAUUUUUCUCCCACUGAAAUGACUGCUCUAGAGCUGGUGUGUGUGUGCAGAAGGAUCCACAUGGAGGAGCACAUGCUGAAAGGUGCCAGGUGGACGCGCUCAGUGCCCACACAGGGAUCCAAAGCUGGACAUGGAUACUGAAACAAUAUGGCGUCAUGAUGGAGCUCAAAUAGGUCAGUAGGGAGGAGGUUCAGCGAAACUAUUCUAAAAUCAAUUUUCUGAUUAAAAAAAACAAUUAUAGCAUACAUUAACAUCUCAUCUUAUGUAAAAUACCGAAUAUUACUCUAUAGAAAACACAGAAUAAAAGUCAAAGUGAUGAUCUAUGGUUCAACUUGAUAAAAUGAAAACUGAAGUUGACUUUCUGUACCAUCAGCAAAGAAAAACUGAACAUUUAACUUGACAUGUAAACAGUUCAUAGAAAAA